GAAAACUUCGCCAUAUUUUCACAUCCUUUUCUCGUAGCCAAGUCUCCCCCCAUAUCCAAGGAGCAGGAGGAGGAGGAGCGAAGGUGGAAACAGGGCUCAGCUUUCCCAGUGCGAAGUCAAACAAUGAGAUCAGCCCUGCUGGAGUUCAGUUACGCUCUGCAUUCAGCAGUGGAACCAAGGCAACAACAGGAGCCGCUGCAAGGACUCACUGCCGGCACUGCCACUCACUGGAGUAACGGUUCAUCGUCACAUGUAUCCAUAUAAGUCAGGGUGAUGUGUCAUGCGAGUAAAAUAAUAUUUGAAAAUACAUUUAUCAUGAAAGUGGAAGCCAUGCAGUACUAGUGACAUAGCAGUUGCCUAGCAAUGGUCACACUUUGCUGACGUCCUUUCGCAGCGAAGCCCAGGCCGGUUGGGAGGAGGAAGCGGCUAGCACGCAUGGAAGUUGGAGUAUUUAUAGGGUUCAGGUGUCCACCGGAGUUUCCACAGCCAUACGCUGUACCCUACUGUCUUCCUGCAGCACCGCAGAGCCGGGGACACAGGGAUACGGGGACCUCGCUUACUCUCUGACCCCCGGAGCACUGCACAGCCCAGCAGCCGCUCCAGCUCACCGCCCAGCAGUCAGUCCCUGUGCCCGUGUGUCCCCUUUGAUAAAGCAGCAGUUAGCUGUGAAACGCGUCAGCUGUGAGCCUGUGUCACCUUUUCACAGAAUAUUCAUCACCGCUUGGACCUCUGUGGACUCUGCCAAAUAGCGCUGCCAUUUGUACCCACAUCCAUAUAACAAGGACCGAACUUCAUUACAACUACGCACUACUGGUGAGGACUUUCCUGUUGUAUUGCCACACUACUGGGACAGACAUUCCUCCAGCGUUGUUAUAACAAGCAUUCGGCCCGGAGAUUGUGCAACAACCCCAGGAUAAGGGACAUUCAAACCGUGCGGGUCCCAUGGGGACAUUGGAUCAAGCGGCAAGUGAUUAAUCUAUACAUAUGUAUGGUAACUAUAAGCUCAUUAGUGCAGUGAGACCUAUUUCAUUUAAAUAUUUUAUUGUAAUCUAAUUUUAAUUCAUUAAAUAUUAUUGUAAUUUUAACGACAA